rnacentral:lncRNA from 1 species
AUGCUGGCUGCUAGGGAGGUUACACAAGCAAGUCUGGGUUUUAGCCCUAAUGAGCUUGUUUUUGCUCACACUGUACGUGGCCCUUUGGCUGUGUUAGCUGACAACUGGAAGGAAGCUAAGCCUCCUGCAAAUUUGAUUGACUUUGUCAAUGGUUUCCGUCGUCGCCUUUACCUAGCAGGGAACUUGGCUAAGGAGAGGUUGUCAGCCUCGCAGGUGAAGAUGAAGGGCUGGUUUGAUCGCCGCACGGAACAGCGUAUUUUUACCUCUGGUGAUCAAGUUUUGGUCUUGUUUCCCCUCCUGCAGUCACCAUUUCAGGCUAAGUUUUCUGGGCCAUACACAGUGGUGGAGCAGUUGACCGAGCAAAAUUAUUUGAUUUCUACACCUGAUCGGCGUAAACGCACGCAACUUUGUCACGUGAACUUGCUAAAACCAUAUUACUCCCGUGAAGAUCAGUCAUCGUCGGCUUCCGCUACAAAUGAAGCCCCACAUGCUGUGUGUACAGUUGAGCCGUUGGGUUUGACCGGGGAGGCCGGAGUUGUAGGAGAGGAGCUGGAGGUUCCGGAGUCAGUUCUGAGGCUUGGUCGGCUAAAGAACUCUGAAGCUCUUUCCCAUCUAAAUUUGCUAUGUGGUCACUUGUCUGCCACUAGGUCGGAAGAAUUGAUUGAAUUGAUUAACAGUUUCCCGUGUUUGUUCUCUGAUACACCUGGGUGUACUCACUUGAUUGAACAUGACAUUGACGUGGGGGAUGCCAAGCCCAUUAGGCAGAGGUUCUAUCGGGUGAAUUCAGAGAAGUUGAAACACCUGGAUGCGGAAGUGUCUUACCUGCUGGAGAAUGGUUUGGCCGAGCCAAGCUCCUCCAGUUGGUCUUCCCCUUGUUUGUUGGUGCCUAAGGCUGACGGUACACUGCGUUUUUGUACCGACUAUCGGAAAGUCAAUGCGGUCACCAAGCCAGAUUGUUUUCCCCUUCCUAGAAUGGAGGAUUGCAUUGACCAGGUAGGCUCGGCAAGAUUUGUUAGCAAGUUUGAUCUGCUGAAAGGUUACUGGCAAGUGCCAUUAACUAGUCGUGCUCGUGAGAUUGCUGCAUUUAUAACACCUAAGGGGUUGUACUCCUAUGCGGUUAUGGCCUUUGGCCUGCGUAACGCACCUGCAACAUUUCAGCGUCUCAUGAACAGCGUUGUUGGUGAUCUAGAAGGCUGUGCAGUGUACCUAGAUGAUGUGGUUUUAUACUCAGACUCCUGGCCUUUUCAUCUACAGCGUAUGCGUGAACUUUUCACCCGUUUGGUGGAGGCACGGCUCAGUCAACCUCGCAAAGUGUGA